GACGAACGCUGGCGGCGUGCUUAACACAUGCAAGUCGAACGGAAAGGCCCUGCUUUUGUGGGGUGCUCGAGUGGCGAACGGGUGAGUAACACGUGAGUAACCUGCCCUUGACUUUGGGAUAACUUCAGGAAACUGGGGCUAAUACCGGAUAGGAGCUCCUGCUGCAUGGUGUGGGUUGGAAAGUUUCGGCGGUUGGGGAUGGACUCGCGGCUUAUCAGCUUGUUGGUGGGGUAGUGGCUUACCAAGGCUUUGACGGGUAGCCGGCCUGAGAGGGUGACCGGCCACAUUGGGCCUGAGAUACGGCCCAGAAUCCUAUGGGAGGCAGCAGUGGGGAAUAUUGCACAAUGGGCGGAAGCCUGAUGCAGAAACGCCGCGUGCGGGAUGACGGCCUUCGGGUUGUAAACCGAUUUCGCCUGUGCCGAAGCGUGAGUGACGGUAAUGGGUAAAGAAGCCCCGGCUAACUACGUG
rnacentral:rRNA from 1 species